CAGAGCGUAGUUUAAAAUAAGCAGAGCACUUCCCUUACACCGAAGAGACACCCGUGCGAAUCGGGUCGCCCUGA
rnacentral:tRNA from 1 species